AGAAGGUCUGGUUUCUAUCUCCCAGUGGAAGGCUUUGUUUCUAUCAUUAAAACUGACAUUCAGACAGGACUCACUUUGAACUGUAAUUUGUCUUUAUAUUAUUUCAAAAAUAUUAUUUAUAUGUUUAUGCAUGUUGGCAGAGGUGCUCUUACACUGUCAUUUUUUGGGAGGCUAUUCAUCCUACAGUCAAGUCCAGAUUCGUCAUAGAUACCCUUUGACAUGCUGAUCUUUGUUUCUCUGGUCUGCUGAAUUGGAGGUAAGUGUACAACAUGCAAACCAUCAAGCCACAAUAUGGCAGCACGCUUCAGAAAUGUGCUCGGUUGCCUCACCUUUCAGCAACUGUAUACCUCAAGAAAGGGAUCCCUUGAUGGCAUUUUGUGAUGAAAUCUUGGAACCAUUUGGCUACCAAAUGAAGGAUGUGGUCUAUCCUUUUCAAAAAGGCAAAGAUUUCACAUGUUUACUUUGGCUCCUCUCAAUCAAAGCCUGCUGUGAUUUCACUAUACUUAAAAUUAACAAUCUGUGUUAUGCUCACUGUAUUGAAUGACUCAGGUUUCCUCCCCCCUUCACCAAAGUAUUUGCUAGAGAAAUAGUAAAAGCAGAGAAGUAACCCAACCCUUUGCCGUCUGUAACCUACACUUUUACUGUGCUGAUUGCAACAGUGAUGAUCUGAGACCAAUUCUUUUUUAUGAUCAGCUGAAAGGCUUAUACAUAUUUUCAUUUUAAUAUCUGAAGCCCAUAUUUGUGACUUUAAGUUUUUAUGCUGCUAACUCUAGAUGGACUCAUAACAGCUUACACUCAAAAUAAAACACUAGUAGCAGCAACAUACAUUAAAAUAUACAGUCAACCACAAAUAUUAAAAUAAUGCAUACCAAGUUUAUGGUAAAAUCCACCAUAGUCAGCUCAAAACGAUAAGCGAAACUCCUUUCACAAUCAAUCAGCACCCUCCCUCAUUUUGACCAUCAACCAGGCAGAUAGGCAGUCUGUCUCACAUGCAACCUGCAUGUACGUUAUCAAUCUAUCUUUCCCUCCCUCUUACCCCCACCUUUUCUUCCUCUCACUCACAUAAGCCUUCUUUCACCUAGCCAUUCUAUGCAUCUGAUGAAGUGAGCUGCAGCUCUUGGAAGCUGAUGCCUUUUGAUAAAAUUCGAAAGUUGGAAAAGAGGCAGCCCUGCCAUCAAGAGAAAGAGAAGAAUUUGGUGGUAUCAUUCAUGCUUGCUCCACCAGCAGGGACAACCAUUUCUGAGAACAACCCAGGUGGUGUCAACUGAUGGUCAAAAUCUGGUGUGAGAUACAUUCCAACUAUCUGGAGCAGAUCUGGGAAAUAUGAGGAGGUACAGGGAGUGAAUGGUCUGAAGGAAAAAAAAGUGUAGAGACACAGCAAGGAAAAGUACAAGUAUAAAAGCACAAUAUGGAAAGUUGCAAGUAUUCUACAUGGCCAUUAACAGAGAAGAAAAAAGCAGAAGUCCCAGAGAGAGGAAUUAAGGCAGAACUGCAUUUGUAAGAAGAAAACAUUGCUAUAUAAUAGUAAUACUAUAGAGUGUAGUAUAGUAAUAGUAAAGAAGAAAUGUCAUAAUAAGAGAAUAGUUAUAUAAUAGUAUAUACUGUAAUAGUAAUAGUAAU